rnacentral:lncRNA from 1 species
UGUCAACGUGGUCUUGGGAGGAUCCUGUUCCCCUCCUCCCAGCCCGGACUCAUGUCAAGAGGUAAUGUCCAUCCAAGUCUUCCCCGAACAAGUCAUUUCCUUCAGCAGCAAGGACUUCGAGGGUGUCACCCGGGGUCACAAUCAGGCCCUGGUGGUAACCCUGGAUAUAGCCGAGAAUGAGGUCAGACGGAUCUUAGUCGACAAUGGCUCUUCAGCAAACAUCCUGUUCAAACACACCAUGGACCGAAUGCAACUAGGGAACAUCCGGAUGAACGACUACAGGGAGGACCCC